rnacentral:rRNA from 1 species
GAUGAACGCUAGCGGCAGGCCUAAUACAUGCAAGUCGAACGGUAACGGGCCUUCGGGUGCCGACGAGUGGCGAACGGGUGAGUAAUGCAUCGGAACGUACCUUUCAGUGGGGGAUAACGUAGCGAAAGUUACGCUAAUACCGCAUAUUCUGUGAGCAGGAAAGCAGGGGAUCGCAAGACCUUGCGCUGAUUGAGCGGCCGAUGUCAGAUUAGCUAGUUGGUGAGGUAAAGGCUCACCAAGGCGACGAUCUGUAGCGGGUCUGAGAGGAUGAUCCGCCACACUGGAACUGAGACACGGUCCAGACUCCUACGGGAGGCAGCAGUGGGGAAUUUUGGACAAUGGGGGCAACCCUGAUCCAGCCAUGCCGCGUGAGUGAAGAAGGCCUUCGGGUUGUAAAGCUCUUUCGGCCGGGAAAAAAUCGCAUCAGUUAAUACCUGGUGUGGAUGAUGGUACCGGAAUAAGAAGCACCGGCUAACUACGUG